rnacentral:lncRNA from 1 species
CUUAUAAACAGAGAAAAGGGAAACAAUUUAAUGAUGACAGUAAUAAUUUUUCCUGCUUGUGUGUAUUCUUACAAAGUGGAUUUUCAAAGUGCUUUUUGAAUCCUCCACCCAGCUUUCCUCUUCCUCCUUCAAACCCUAGAGAGAGAGAGAGAGAGAAAAAGAAGAUUCUGAUCUGAUUCAUCAUCAAAAGGAAAGUGGGUACAAGUUUGAAGACAGAGAUUUUGGAAAAGAAAACACAUCAAUUUCAUCAUCAUAUUUCUCUUUUUUCUGUUUUUCAACCUACGUAAUCAUUUCACCUAGACUUUCUUUCAAACAUCUUAUCUUCAUGGAUCUAUCUUAGUCCUACUUCCUUGGUGAAAGAUAAACUAAAGUUUCAACUUUCUUGUUACAUUGAAGAAAAAUGCCGCACUCUGACCACCCCACCACCAAAGGCCAAGCAUGGUGAGUAACAAUAUUAUUUUCCUUCUUCUUUUUUACGUAUUGUUAACUCAGAUUCACUGUUUUUCAGGUUUUGUACUACAGGAUUACCCAGUGAUAUCAUCAUCGAAGUUGAAGAUAUGACCUUCCAUCUUCACAAGGUUGGUCAGUUGUGUGUUGAAUGAAUAGAUUCUGAAAUAAUAAUAUGUGUUUGUUUGCUUAUUUACUUAUUUUUGUGUCGGUUGUUUCAGUUUCCCCUGAUGUCAAAAAGUAGAAAGCUUCAUGAAAUGAUAACAGAGCAAGAGACAAAUGCAAGUAGCAGUAAAAUCCAAAAACCGGCUGAACGAGACAACGAUUGUGAUGGUGAUGAGGAGAUUGAAGAAGAAGAGGAUAAUGAGGAGGACCAGCAAUACUGUAUUUCGUUCCCUGAUUUCCCGGGCGGUUCAGAGACAUUUGAGACGGCUGCCAAGUUCUGUUAUGG